rnacentral:rRNA from 1 species
UUCCGGUUGAUCCUGCCGGACCUGACUGCUAUCGGAUUGAUACUAAGCCAUGCGAGUCAUUGUAGUAAUACAAGGCAGACGGCUCAGUAACGCGUAGUCAACCUACCCUAUGGACGGGGAUAACCUCGGGAAACUGAGAAUAAUACCCGAUAGAACAUUAUACCUGGAAUGGUUUAUGUUUCAAAUAAUUUAUUGCCGUAGGAUGGGACUGCGGCCUAUCAGUUUGUUGGUGAGGUAAUGGCCCACCAAGACUAUUACAGGUACGGGCUCUGAGAGGAGUAGCCCGGAGAUGGGUACUGAGACACGGACCCAGGCCCUAUGGGGCGCAGCAGGCGAGAAAACUUUGCAAUGUGCGAAAGCACGACAAGGUUAAUCCGAGUGGUUUCUGCUAAAGGAACCUUUUGUCAGUCCUAGAAACACUGGUGAAUAAGGGGUGGGCAAGUUCUGGUGUCAGCCGCCGCGGUAAAACCAGCACCUCAAGUGGUCAGGAUGAUUAUUGGGCCUAAAGCAUCCGUAGCCUGCUUUGUUAGUUUUCGGUUAAAUCCAUGCGCUCAACGUAUGGGCUGCCGGGAAUACUGCAAAGCUAGGGAGUGGGAGAGGUAGACGGUACUCGGUAGGAAGGGGUAAAAUCCUUUGAUCUAUUGAUGACCACCUGUGGCGAAGGCGGUCUACCAGAACACGUCCGACGGUGAGGGAUGAAAGCUGGGGGAGCAAACCGGAUUAGAUACCCGGGUAGUCCCAGCUGUAAACUAUGCAAACUCGGUGAUGCAUUGGCUUGAUGCCAAUGCAGUGCCGCAGGGAAGCCGUUAAGUUUGCCGCCUGGGAAGUACGUACGCAAGUAUGAACUUAAAGGAAUUGGCGGGGGAGCACCACAAGGGUGAAGCCUGCGGUUCAAUUGGAUUCAACGCCGGA